AACGAACGCUGGCGGCAGGCCUAACACAUGCAAGUCGAGCGCGCCCUUCGGGGUUAGCGGCGGACGGGUGAGUAACGCGUGGGAACGUGCCCUUUUCUACGGAAUAGCCUCGGGAAACUGAGAGUAAUACCGUAUACGCCCUUUGGGGGAAAGAUUUUUCGGAAAAGGAUCGGCCCGCGUUGGAUUAGGUAGUUGGUGGGGUUAUGGCCUACCAAGCCGACGAUCCAUAGCUGGUUUGAGAGGAUGAUCAGCCACACUGGGACUGAGACACGGCCCAGACUCCUGCGGGAGGCAGCAGUGGGGAAUCUUAGACAAUGGGGGCAACCCUGAUCUAGCCAUGCCGCGUGAGUGAUGAAGGCCUUAGGGUUGUAAAGCUCUUUCAGCUGGGAAGAUAAUGACGGUACCAGCAGAAGAAGCCCCGGCUAACUCCGUG
rnacentral:rRNA from 1 species